ACGCGUGAGAACAUGCCUUUAGAUUGGGGACAACAGUUGGAAACGACUGCUAAUACCGAAUGUGCCUUAGGGUGAAAGAUUUAUUGUCUAGAGAUUGGCUCGCGUCAGAUUAGCUAGUUGGAGUGGUAACGGCACACCAAGGCGACGAUCUGUACUUGGUCUGAGAGGAUGACCAGGCACACUGGAACUGAGACACGGUCCAGACUCCUACGGGAGGCAGCAGUGGGGAAUUUUCCGCAAUGGGCGAAAGCCUGACGGAGCAAUACCGCGUGAGGGAGGACGGCUUUUGGGUUGUAAACCUCUUUUAUCAGGGAAGAAUCGAUGACGGUACCUGAUGAAUCAGCAUCGGCUAACUCCGUGCCAGCAGCCGCGGUAAUACGGAGGAUGCAAGCGUUAUCCGGAAUUAUUGGGCGUAAAGCGUCCGUAGGUGGUUUAUCAAGUCUGCUGUCAAAGCGUGCGGCUUAACCGCAUAAGGGCAGUGGAAACUGAUGAACUAGAGUGCGAUAGGGGUAACAGGAAUUCCCAGUGUAGCGGUGAAAUGCGUAGAUAUUGGGAAGAACACCAGCGGCGAAAGCGUGUUACUGGGUCUGCACUGACACUGAGGGACGAAAGCUAGGGGAGCGAAUGGGAUUAGAUACCCCC
rnacentral:rRNA from 1 species